CCAAUCUGUGGGAGUUCAUGCAAAUCAAUUUCUAACCUUUUUAUAGUGUUUUUUUUUUUUUUUUUUUUUUUUUUUUUUUUUUUUUUUUUUUUUUUUUUUUUUUUUUUUUUUUUUUUUUUUUUUUUUUUUUUUUUUUUUUUUUUUUUUUUUUUUUUUUUUUUUUUUUUUUUUUUUUUUUUUUUUUUUUUUUUUUUUUUUUUUUUUUUUUUUUUUUUUUUUUUUUUUUUUUUUUUUUUUUUUUUUUUUUUUUUUUUUUUUUUUUUUUUUUUUUUUUUUUUUUUUUUUUUUUUUUUUUUUUUUUUUUUUUUUUUUUUUUUUUUUUUUUUUUUUUUUUUUUUUUUUUUUUUUUUUUUUUUUUUUUUUUUUUUUUUUUUUUUUUUUUUUUUUUUUUUUUUUUUUUUUUUUUUUUUUUUUUUUUUUUUUUUUUUUUUUUUUUUUUUUUUUUUUUUUUUUUUUUUUUUUUUUUUUUUUUUUUUUUUUUUUUUUUUUUUUUUUUUUUUUUUUUUUUUUUUUUUUUUUUUUUUUUUUUUUUUUUUUUUUUUUUUUUUUUUUUUUUUUUUUUUUUUUUUUUUUUUUUUUUUUUUUUUUUUUUUUUUUUUUUUUUUUUUUUUUUUUUUUUUUUUUUUUUUUUUUUUUUUUUUUUUUUUUUUUUUUUUUUUUUUUUUUUUUUUUUUUUUUUUUUUUUUUUUUUUUUUUUUUUUUUUUUUUUUUUUUUUUUUUUUUUUUUUUUUUUUUUUUUUUUUUUUUUUUUUUUUUUUUUUAAAAAAAAAAAAAAAAAAAAAAAAAAAAAAAAAAAAAAAAAAAAAAAAAAAAAAAAAAAAAAAAAAAAAAAAAAAAAAAAAAAAAAAAAAAAAAAAAAAAAAAAAAAAAAAAAAAAAAAAAAAAAAAAAAAAAAAAAAAAAAAAAAAAAAAAAAAAAAAAAAAAAAAAAAAAAAAAAAAAAAAAAAAAAAAAAAAAAAAAAAAAAAAAAAAAAAAAAAAAAAAAAAAAAAAAAAAAAAAAAAAAAAAAAAAAAAAAAAAAAAAAAAAAAAAAAAAAAAAAAAAAAAAAAAAAAAAAAAAAAAAAAAAAAAAAAAAAAAAAAAAAAAAAAAAAAAAAAAAAAAAAAAAAAAAAAAAAAAAAAAAAAAAAAAAAAAAAAAAAAAAAAAAAAAAAAAAAAAAAAAAAAAAAAAAAAAAAAAAAAAAAAAAAAAAAAAAAAAAAAAAAAAAAAAAAAAAAAAAAAAAAAAAAAAAAAAAAAAAAAAAAAAAAAAAAAAAAAAAAAAAAAAAAAAAAAAAAAAAAAAAAAAAAAAAAAAAAAAAAAAAAAAAAAAAAAAAAAAAAAAAAAAAAAAAAAAAAAAAAAAAAAAAAAAAAAAAAAAAAAAAAAAAAAAAAAAAAAAAAAAAAAAAAAAAAAAAAAAAAAAAAAAAAAAAAAAAAAAAAAAAAAAAAAAAAAAAAAAAAAAAAAAAAAAAAAAAAAAAAAAAAAAACAUAUUAG
rnacentral:lncRNA from 12 species